rnacentral:rRNA from 1 species
UACGGGGGGUGCGAGCGUUGUCCGGAAUCACUGGGCGUAAAGGGCGCGUAGGUGGUCUUAUAAGGGUGUGGUGAAAGCCCGGGGCUCAACCCCGGGUCGGCCGUGCCGACUGUAAGACUAGAGUGCUGUAGGGGCAGACGGAAUUCCGGGUGUAGCGGUGGAAUGCGUAGAGAUCCGGAGGAAGACCGGUGGCGAAGGCGGUCUGCUGGGCAGUUUCUGACACUGAGGCGCGACAGCGUGGGGAGCAAACAGG